AGCAGCCGCGGUAAUUCCAGCUCCAAUAGCGUAUAUUAAAGUUGUUGCAGUUAAAAGCUCGUAGUUGAAUUUCGGGAUUGGCGCAUCGGUCGUGCCUCACGGGGUAUGAACUGGUGCAGUCAAUUUCUCACCUUCUGGAGAACCGCGAUGUCCUUAAUUGGAUGCCGUGGGGAACCAGGACCUUUACUUUGAAAAAUUAGAGUGUUUAAAGCAGGCAUUUUUGCUUGAAUACAUUAGCAUGGAAUAAUAAAAUAGGACGGCAUGGUUCUAUUUUGUUGGUUUCUAGGACCACCGUAAUGAUUAAUAGGGAUAGUUGGGGGCAUUAGUAUUCAAUUGUCAGAGGUGAAAUUCUUGGAUUUUAUUGAAGACUAACUACUGCGAAAGCAUUUGCCAAGGAUGUUUUCAUUAAUCAAGAACGAAAGUUAGGGGAUCGAAGACGAUCAGAUACCGUCGUAGUCUUAACCAUAAACUAUAGCCGACUAGGAAUCAGACGAUGUUAAUUUUUAAUGUACUUGUUUGG
rnacentral:misc_RNA from 1 species